rnacentral:lncRNA from 1 species
GGGGGGCAUGGUAGAACACUUUUAAUGCCACCACUUGGGAGGUAGAGGCAGGUCUCUGUUAGUUCAAGGCCAUCCUGGUCUACUCGUGAGUUCCAGGAUAACCAGGGUGACUUAGAGAGACUCUGUCUCAAAAAACAAAAACAAAGACCAAAAAAUCAGAAGAAGAAGAAGGAGGAGGAGGAGGGGGAGGGGGAGGAGGAGGAGGAGGAGGAGGAGGAAGCAUACUGCUAAGUGUCAGCUUUCACUUCUUGGUGUCUUUUGGCUGGUAACUGCUGAGUGACCAUGCCUUCCCACCAUGGUGGAUGGUAUCCUAAAACCAUGGCUCAAAUAGACCCUUACUUAAACUUUUGACAAAAAUGUGGCAAAUACAAAGUCGUUGAAGAAAAUGUCUUCAAAGAAAAGCAGAGGAUGAAAUUGGGCUACUGUGAUAUCAAGUGUGAUUGAUAUUCUAGGCAUAAGAAGAUCAAAUUCAAAGUACUCCCAGGUCCUGGUAGUAUGACCAUCUAUCCUAUCUACUAGACUAAAGGAGAAGGAUCACAAGUUCAAGGCUAUUCUAGGCAAUUUAGUCAAAGGGGGUAUGCCAUCCCACUUGUAGAGUGUUUGCCAAGAAUAUAUGUGCUCAUAAGAGGAAUUACAAGCACCACCCCCCAAAAGUUUCACCAACCUUGGUAAUUGUUUAGAAUAUUGCUUUAAUAUAACUUAAAAUAAUCUAAACUUUAAUUUCAAAACAGUAAUAAAUACUUGGGGCAAGCAAUACUCUUUACAAAUAAUUUUUGGAGGAUUUCAUACAUGAGCAUUUAUAUCAUUUCCAUCUGCCCUCUCCCCCCUCUAACUUUUCUCACAUCCUCCUACUCUCUCUCAAAUUCAUAACAUCUUUUAAAAUUAUUGUUACACACACACACACACACACACACACACACACACCAUGCACAAUACCCUAUUUAGUGUUGCUCAUAUUUCCAUAUGUGUUUAUGGCUAGCCACUUGGAUAACUCAGCCCUGGAGAAUGGAUGGGUGUCUGUAAAUACUUGUAUACAUACAUAUGUACAUAUAUACAUAUGACCACAUACAGGUAAAUGCAUAUAUGGAUUUCUAAACAUAUUCAUGUAUUUCUAAGCAAAGGAUAUAGUUCAGAGGUAGAAUGCUUGUCCUAGGCUGAAUCCUCAGUCCUGGGGAAAGACAUAAGAGAAAUCUCCUGAAAUAAUAAUAUAGCUUUUUGGCUUGUUUUGGGGGCUGAGAAUCAAAUCCAAGGCCUUAUACAUGCUAAGCAUAUAUUCUAUCACUGAGCCACACCCUCAUCCCAUAUACCUUUGAUUAUUGCCAACUAUCUCUUUUGUUGUUGGGUUUUUUAGUUGUAGAUGGUUGGUUGGUUUUUGGAGGAAGGGUCUCCUGUCACUUCGGAUGGCCUCAUAGUUACUAUGUACCCAAGGAUAGCCUUGAAUAUCUGUUCCUCUUGCCUCUACCUUCCAAGAUCCUUAACUAUUGCCUUCCCUCAGAGACUAUUGAUAAAAUUUCCCAAAUGCUCAGCAAAUAGAGUCAAGCCUAUGACUUGUUUGGGCAUCUAGGAAUGUCAGGAAAAAGAAAAAUUCAAAGGCUGAUGGGACUUGCAAAUAUUGGGGCAAAAGCCAUAGGAAAAAGGAUGAAUAGUUUAUAUUUUUGUAUGUUCUAGAGGACAAAAGGCUAUGGUGUGGUCCUAAACUACUAAUAUUUCAAUUAAGAUAAAUAGCCCUACUUAACCUAGUAGUGCAGACCUGUAAUUCCAUCUUCUCAGGCAGGAGGAUCACAAACUCAAGGCUACAGAGUGAGUCAAAUGAAAGUAACUUAAAAAAAAAAAAGUAAAAAUCAGGCAGGGGAUAUAGCUCAGUGCAAGAGGGCUUACUUAGCACACACUGGGCUUUGGUUGGAUCUCCAGGACCACAAACAGCCAAUAAUUAUGUGCAGUAUUAUGUUCAGUUCUCAAAAGAUUUUUUUCUCACACUUUAUAGAGCAAGCUAUUUGUCCUAGGUUGUCUUCACAGUCCAGUGCCCACAAAGGAGAUACAACAAAGCCAGUCUUUGCAGCCUAAUCUCUUUACAGCUUGCCACUCUCUGAAAUGUGUUUUUGUUUUUAUUUUCUCACUUUUUUGUCCCUGAAAGGAGCAGUGUUGCUCUCCCACAGUUCAUACCAUAUAACUAUGAUGCGUGCCUUGCCACCCAGGGCCAGUUGUGGACAGCCUAGAACCUCUGAAAACCUGAGACCUCUGCAGCUUGGAACUCUUUACACAAACCAGGCUGGCCUUGAAUUCACAGUGGCUUUUCCUCCUUUACUUUCUGAAUGUUGGGUAUGAGUAUACAUUACCAUACAUGGCUCACCUUCUCCUCUCCUCCUCCUCUUCUUCCUCCUCCUUCCUCUUCCUCCUCCUACUCCUUUUCUUUAUGUGUUUUAAAUUAUGUGUUUGUAUGUCCAUGUGUGGGUUUGUGCUCAUGAAUGCAGUUCCUAGAGAGGCCAGAAGAAGGCAUAAGAUCUCCUGCCCUGGAGUUACAGGCAGUUGUGACUCAUCCACUCUGAGUGCUGGAAAACAAAUUCUGGUCUUCUGCAAAAGCAGAUGCUUAACUGACUUUGAAAGGUAGAAAAGGAGGAUUCUACAGUCAACUUUUUAAAGCACAGAGGGAGACAAAGGUAAACUGUCUCCUGUGUUCCACCUCUAGGCCUUGGGAUCUACCAGGUAUCAUUUUCCAAACCCCUUUCCCCUC